GGCUCAGGAUGAAUGCUGGCGGCGUGCCUAAUACAUGCAAGUCGAGCGGCAGCGAGGAUCUCAUCCUGUUCUUGAAGCUUUCGAGAAUAGAAUGAGAUCUGUCGGCGAGCGGCGGACGGCUGAGUAACGCAUGGGAACGCACCCCAAACUGAGGGAUAACCAGUCGAAAGAUUGGCUAAUACCGCAUGUGAUCUUAGGAUUAAAGCCUUCGGGCGGUUUUGGGAGCGGCCUGUGUACGAUUAGAUAGUUGGUGAGGUAAUGGCUCACCAAGUCGACGAUCGUUAGAUGGUUUGAGAGGAUGAUCAUCCAGACUGGGACUGAGACACGGCCCAGACUCCUACGGGAGGCAGCAGUAGGGAAUCUUUCACAAUGGGCGAAAGCCUGAUGGAGCAACGCCGCGUGCAGGACGAAGGCCUUCGGGUUGUAAACUGCUUUUAUAAGCGAGGAAUAUGACGGUAACUUAUGAAUAAGGAUCGGCUAACUACGUGCCAGCAGCGGC
rnacentral:rRNA from 1 species